AGGAUUGGCUCUGAGGGCUGG
rnacentral:siRNA from 1 species